AGAACGAACGCUGGCGGCAGGCUUAACACAUGCAAGUCGAACGCGUGUAGCAAUACACGAGUGGCGCACGGGUGAGUAACGCGUGGAUAUCUGCCUUUUGGUUCGGAAUAACCCCGGGAAACUGGGGCUAAUACCGGAUGGUUCCUACGGGAUAAAGAUUUAUCGCCAAAAGAUGAGUCCGCGUCCGAUUAGCUAGUUGGUGGGGUAAUGGCCUACCAAGGCGACGAUCGGUAGCUGGUCUGAGAGGACGAUCAGCCACACUGGGACUGAGACACGGCCCAGACUCCUACGGGAGGCAGCAGUGGGGAAUAUUGGACAAUGGGGGCAACCCUGAUCCAGCCAUGCCGCGUGAGUGAUGAAGGCCUUCGGGUUGUAAAGCUCUUUUGGCGGGACGAUGAUGACGGUACCCGCAGAAUAACGCCCGGCUAACUUCGCGCCAGCAGCCGC
rnacentral:rRNA from 1 species